rnacentral:lncRNA from 1 species
GGCUUUUGGAGGGCUUUCUCCACAGCCUGAAAUUGAUUCCUGACAGCAGUUCCUUUGUGGCUUUGCUCAAACAAACUCGGAAUCUUUUGGCUCAUGGCACCAGCAGUAAUUGAAAGAAGAUACCACCACUGUUUUGUACAUUCAUGGAGCUGCUCAGGAGAAAUGUGCUUUCUUUCCUGAUCAAGGCUUUACUGCACUGCAAUUGUCUUUGGUCCCAUAGAGGAUUUAAUUUGUUUUUGCAAGAGGCCUGGAGACACUGGCACCUGAAGAUGACCCUAAUCCAGUGUGAAUAACCGAGGUGAUUCCCAGCUGAGCUACAGUAUCUGGUAAGGCCCACUGACUU